AAAAAUUUUUGUCUCUUGCGACUGAUAUGUAGCGGCUGUUCUUUGGAACCGUCGCCGCUAUCAUAUUUUCCAGAUACUUUGUGGCUGUUAUCCUAAACCGUCGUGACUUUUUCUACUUUUCGCGCACUCAUAUUCGCUCUAUUUUUCUCUCCGGAAUUUGAAUUUUUCUCAAACCCUUCCUUCUUCACAUAUUCAUUCAAAAUCGAUUCCUUCAAUCCCUUAGUUCUUCACAUAUUUUUUCUCAAACCUUCGUUCUUCGCAGAUUUGUUCAAUCACUCACAGAUUUUCAUCGAUUCCUUCUUGUUCGAUCAAACUCAAGCUCGAACUCGAAUACUUUCAAUCGGCUUCAAACCUUCUCCUCAAAUUCGUUCAACUUUAGCUUCAAUCUUCAUAAUUCAGGUUCAUUAGGUUAAAUUUGGUAAUUAGGUUCACUUAAUUUAGUAUGAUUUUGAAAUUUGGUAAUUAGGGUUUUGACAUUUCAUUGUUAUUCAGCUUCUGCUUCCUUCAAUCAAGCUUCAGAUUCAUUUUUCGCCGAGAUUCGUUCAAAUAUUCAUAUUCGUGCUUUGUUCAUUCAAUCAAACUUCAAAAUCCAGCAACAGUGCCGAGCGAGUUUCAUCGCCUUGUAGAUCGCCAUAGCUUCAAUCAUCUUCCACGUAGCAACGGCGAGAGCGUUUCCCUUGUCAAACCCAGGUACCUUCUUCUGUUAAUUAAAUUUGCAUCGCAGUUAGUUACCUUUAAUAUAUAAUCAUCCACCCUAGGCUUAGUCCACUUAGAUUUUCUGUUCUGAUUGUUUUGAUUGUUACAAUGAAUAAAUAUUAGGGGAAACGUUUCCAGAGUUGAAAUUGAUUUUAUCUGCUUGUUUCAAAUCAUGUAUAGUAUGCCAGCCUGUGUUUAUAGUGUCUUCCACAAGCAUUGGCACAACCUCUUCAGAAUGCAGAUGAGCUUAUUGAUUUAUUUCAAACUUAUAUGAACAGAGCUAAUAUGAACUCAAAAAUGUUUUGAUUUUACUAUGAUGAAAUGAUCAAUAUGAGAUGUAAUAGAAGAAUACUAUUUCCAUUUGAUUAUGUAGUUUUUCCAAUUUUGUGUUAGAUUUGUUGUGUGUAUAGGAAACAAGGAUCGAAAAUUAAACUAGUUGCUUGAAAAUUCCUUCUUGAAAAUGCAGGUUUAAGUUUAAGUUUGUGGAAUGCUAGAGUGGGAAGAAGAGCUUUUAUUAGUGAUUGUGAGAUUUUUUUCAAGGUGGAAGUUGAAGCAUUUGUAAUUCAAGGACCAAAACUUGCCAAUGUGAUGAGGCAAGUUAAGAAACUAGGCCAAAAGAAGCCAUCUUCUUUCUUUAUCUGGGAUCAAAAAAAUGUUGACUUCAAAAAAAUGGAUGCUCAUGUUCACCAGUUUAAGGAUAACAGUGCAAAGGUCUAAUUUUCGGACAGAGUGGAAGCGGGAAAAACAACUCUCUUGCAGGUCUUACAUCUUUUUACUCUUUUGUAAAUCUGCUUUAUUGAACAUUCAUGUUAUCUACCUGUCUAGUUAAUCUCCAGAGCCGUUGGUGCCGGAAAGGGUUGGUAUUGUCUUCCAAUUUUCUGAGAGGUACAAAUAUAAACUAAUAAAAUAUGGUAAUAGGUUUUGUUACUUCAUAAUUUGCAUUUUGUUUUAAUCUUGUGUUGUAAAUAUUGAGCUAUAAUGUUAUAGACAUCUACUGCAUUGUUUCAAUUUCACUCUAUAAUAUAUAUAGUUAUCUUGAUUAUGAAAAUGUAUUACAUGAUUGUUCGACAUGACAUAUAAGUAAAGUGUUAUACAAAUCUUUGUUUCAAACACUUGUCUAACUUGCAACACAAUACACCCCUGUUUCAUAAUUUUGGCUUCAUGAAGAAUUAACAGUGAGUGCAAAAGUUUGAAGAACAAAGCUACUUGAACAAGGCUCAACUGGUUAGAUGCUAGAGAAAUCGACGUGAAUUUGCUAAUUUCAUGGUCCGAAACAUUGUUGAGGCUUGAGCAGCAAAUAGUGGCAUCAGGUGGCUCAAUCCCUAUGAUGGAAUGGAACUGAGUUUCUAAGUGAGUGGAUAUGUAGAGAUAAUACACAUUUCACUUAGAUUAUGCAUAUGUGCCUCUGACAUUUUGUUUGCUCUCCAUAUGCAAUUGCACUUUACAUCUCAUUGUAUUGUUGGUUUUUUUGACAGUAUGAUUGUAUUGUUGGUUAAUCAUAAAGAAAACAUGUUUUUGAAUC